rnacentral:lncRNA from 1 species
GCUUUCUUAUUUUUGAAUUUAAUUUUGUAUGUUAAAUCUACCCAUAAACGAUUGAAAAGUUUUAAGCACGGGGACUGAAUGACUAGAUGAACAUGGCUUUAACGUUGAACGCGCGUAUGACGUCAGAAUGUAAACGUCACACAGGUAGAACUAAAAAACAAUGUCGUUCAAUCAUGAAAAUAGUGGAAAAUAAACUGACAAUGCCAUGCCAAAAAAGAAAAAGACUCUUCGAAAAACAAUAGAACACAAAAAACCUCAGAAAACUAAAUUUACACAUUUUACUGAGUUGUUUCGAUUCGAAUAUGCAGUCUUUAUAAUGUAUUUGACAAUUAGCUAUUAUACAUUUAUUUGCCGUCCCUGAGGGAGAUAUGAAGAUUUGU